CGGUUAUGGUAUUGCGCUGGUAUGUUGAUUCUGUGUUCAUACCCGUAAUUGCCAUGACUGUU
rnacentral:pre_miRNA from 1 species